rnacentral:tRNA from 1 species
GCCCGGAUGGUGGAACGCAGACACGGGGGCCUUAAAAGCCCUUGGCCGCCAGGCCGUGCGGGUUCGAGUCCCGCUCCGGGCACGA